GUGCUUAACACAUGCAAGUCGAACGGAAAGGCCCUGCUUUUGUGGGGUGCUCGAGUGGCGAACGGGUGAGUAACACGUGAGUAACCUGCCCUUGACUUUGGGAUAACUUCAGGAAACUGGGGCUAAUACCGGAUAGGAGCUCCUGCUGCAUGGUGGGGGUUGGAAAGUUUCGGCGGUUGGGGAUGGACUCGCGGCUUAUCAGCUUGUUGGUGGGGUAGUGGCUUACCAAGGCUUUGACGGGUAGCCGGCCUGAGAGGGUGACCGGCCACAUUGGGACUGAGAUACGGCCCAG
rnacentral:rRNA from 1 species